UACGUAGGGUGCGAGCGUUGUCCGGAAUUAUUGGGCGUAAAGGGCUCGUAGGCGGUUUGUCGCGUCGGGAGUGAAAUCCACUGGCUUAACUGGUGGCUUGCUUUCGAUACGGGCAGACUGGAGGUAUGCAGGGGAGAACGGAAUUCCUGGUGUAGCGGUGAAAUGCGCAGAUAUCAGGAGGAACACCGGUGGCGAAGGCGGCGACCUGGGUAGAUACUGACGCUGAGGCGCGAAAGCGUGGGGAGCAAACAGG
rnacentral:rRNA from 1 species